rnacentral:rRNA from 1 species
CCUACGGGCGGCAGCAGUGAGGAAUAUUGGUCAAUGGACGAGAGUCUGAACCAGCCAAGUAGCGUGAAGGAUGACUGCCCUAUGGGUUGUAAACUUCUUUUAUAUGGGAAUAAAAUGUUCCACGUGUGGGAUUUUGUAUGUACCAUAUGAAUAAGGAUCGGCUAACUCCGUGCCAGCAGCCGCGGUAAUACGGAGGAUCCGAGCGUUAUCCGGAUUUAUUGGGUUUAAAGGGAGCGUAGGUGGAUUGUUAAGUCAGUUGUGAAAGUUUGCGGCUCAACCGUAAAAUUGCAGUUGAAACUGGCAGUCUUGAGUACAGUAGAGGUGGGCGGAAUUCGUGGUGUAGCGGUGAAAUGCUUAGAUAUCACGAAGAACUCCGAUUGCGAAGGCAGUUCACUGGACUGCAACUGACACUGAGGCUCGAAAGUGUGGGUAUCAAACAGGAAUAGAUACCCUAGUAGUC